AGGAGCAGUGACCUCACAGGAGACUGAAUCUGACCUACCUGCUAGUGUGGGAGGGUCUUCUAUGGAGCCUGUGGACCCCAGAGUUUCGUUGUCUCAGGCCGAACAACUAACAGGGAUGGAGCAAAAGCCCACCCAUCAGCAGAUAAUUGUAUUAAAGUUUUACUGAGCAACACCCUGCCCACCAGAGCAAGACCCAGUUUUUCCCACUGCCAGUCAUUCCCAUCAGGAAGCUUACACAAGCUUCUUAGCCGCAUCCACCAGAGGGCAGACAGAAGAAGUAGGAAGAACCACAAUCCCACAGAAUGGAAACAACAUCACAGACAGUCAACCAGAAUGAAAAAGCAGAGGGUUAUGUUCUAGAUGAAAGGAUAAGAUAAAACCCCAGAAAAACAACUAAAUGAAGUGGAGAUAGACAACCUUCCAGAAAAAUAAUUCAGAAUAUGAUAGUGAAGAUGAGACAGAUCUUGGAAGAAGAAUGGAGAAGAUUUGAGAAAUGUUUUCUAAAGACUUUGAAGAGCUAAAGAACAAACAAACAGAGAUGAACAAUACACUACAAGGAAUCAACAGCAGAAUAAUUGAGGCAGAAGAACAGAUAAGUGACCUGGAAGACAGAAUGGUGGAAAUCACUGCUGCAGAACAGAAUACAGAAAAAAGGAUGAAAAGAAAUGAAGACAACCUAUGAGACCUCUGGGACAACAUUAAAUGCACCAACAUUCAUAGUAUAGGGUUCCCAGAAGGAUAAGAGAGAGAGAGAAAGGACCUGAGAAAGUAUUUGAAGAGAGAAUAGCUGAAGGUUUCCCUAACAUGAAAAUAAAUAGUCAACCAGGUCCAGUAGAUGCAGGACCUUAGUAGGUUUAUGCCAGGAGGGAUAUCCCUUAGUGGGUUUAUCCUAGGCAGGAUAAACCCAAGGAGGAAUACAUAGUAAUCAAACUGACAAAAAUUAAAAACAAAGACAAAAUAUUAAAAGCAACAAGGGAAAAGUGACAAAUUACAUACAAGGGAACACCCAUAGGUUAUCAGCUGAUUUCUUAAUAGAAACUCUACAAGCCAGAAGAGAAUGGCAUGAUAUAUUUAAAGUGAUAAAAGGGAAGAACCUACAACCAAGAAUACUCUGCUGCUGCUGCUAAGUCGCUUCAGUUGUGUCCGACUCUGUGUGACCCCAUAGACGGCAGCCCACCAGGCUCCUCCAUCCCUGGGAUUCUCCAGGCACCCAGCAAGAAAUCAAAAACUUUCCAGACAGACAAAAGUUAAGGGAAUUCAGCACCACCAAACCAACUUUCCAACAAAUGCUAAAAGAACUUCACUAGGUACAAAACACAAGAGA
ensembl:lncRNA